UACGGGGGAGCAAGCGUUGUUCGGAUUUACUGGGCGUAAAGAGCGUGUAGGCGGCCUGAUAGGUCGGUUGUGAAACCUGGAGGCUUAACCUUCAGACGUCGGCCGAAACCAUCUGGCUAGAGUCCGGAAGAGGAGAGUGGAAUUCCUGGUGUAGCGGUGAAAUGCGCAGAUAUCAGGAAGAACACCCGUGGCUAAGGCGGCUCUCUAGUACGGUACUGGACGCUGAGACGCGAAAGCGUGGGGAGCGAACAGG
rnacentral:rRNA from 1 species